AUACGGAGGAUGCGAGCGUUAUCCGGAUUUAUUGGGUUUAAAGGGAGCGUAGGUGGGAUAUUAAGUCAGCUGUGAAAGUUUGGGGCUCAACCUUAAAAUUGCAGUUGAUACUGGUUUCCUUGAGUACGGUACAGGUGGGCGGAAUUCGUGGUGUAGCGGUGAAAUGCUUAGAUAUCACGAAGAACUCCGAUCGCGAAGGUAGCUCACCGGGCCGGAACUGACACUGAUGCUCGAAAGUGCGGGUAUCAAACAGGAUUAGAUACCCUGGUAGUCCGCACAGUAAACGAUGAAUACUCGCUGUUUGCGAUACACUGUAAGCGGCCAAGCGAAAGCGUUAAGUAUUCCACCUGGGGAGUACGCCGGCAACGGUGAAACUCAAAUGAAUUGACGGGG
rnacentral:rRNA from 1 species